rnacentral:rRNA from 1 species
AUUGAACGCUGGCGGCAGGCCUAACACAUGCAAGUCGAACGGUAACAGGAAACAGCUUGCUGUUUCGCUGACGAGUGGCGGACGGGUGAGUAAUGUCUGGGAAACUGCCUGAUGGAGGGGGAUAACUACUGGAAACGGUAGCUAAUACCGCAUAACGUCGCAAGACCAAAGAGGGGGACCUUCGGGCCUCUUGCCAUCGGAUGUGCCCAGAUGGGAUGAGCUAGUAGGUGGGGUAACGGCUCACCUAGGCGACGAUCCCUAGCUGGUCUGAGAGGAUGACCAGCCACACUGGAACUGAGACACGGUCCAGACUCCUACGGGAGGCAGCAGUGGGGAAUAUUGCACAAUGGGCGCAAGCCUGAUGCAGCCAUGCCGCGUGUAUGAAGAAGGCCUUCGGGUUGUAAAGUACUUUCAGCGGGGAUGAAGGGAGUAAAGUUAAUACCUUUGCUCAUUGACGUUACCCGCAGAAGAAGCACCGGCUAACUCCGUG